AUACACAGUAGCUAACGAUUUGUGUCUUGCAUACCUGUUGGAAGAGGUCAUUGAGGGGAUGUGACCACCAGCUGACUGGAGAGCUCGACCGGGAAUGGACACUCCCUCCCCUGUCCUUGGCGUGUACUUCUACCCACUGAUCCCACAGUGAGAGCUGUUCCAAGGACAUAGCCUUGAGAGAGUAUGGUGUUACUGAGACCAUCUGGAUGGAUUUUGGUCCAGAUCUAGAAAGGGCAGAGCCCUGAAGCCCCCACAGAACAACAGCUCCUUUCAGUAUACACAGUGUUCCUCCAGGCAGAGUCUCUCAUGAAGGAACAGCAUAUCAUGAAGGCGCUGACACCCUCUGGCAAUCAGGAAGUCGAUGCCCUAGGCUGGGUAUGAGUCCAGCAACCAAUCCUUCAGUAAACACAGCACAGAAAGAGUAGCCAUCUCGGCGCCCCGUGGCCUGGCAUAUCGCCAAGGAUGCUGGCUGGCCAGUGAAAUACAAUCACCUGGCUAACGCAGUUAAUGGCAUAUCCUGUGUGUGUUCUAAACAACGCCAGAGGCAACUACCAAAGGAGCCCUGGGGCCAACCACUGGAGUUCCCAGCUGGCCAGGGAUUGGCCAACUGAUUACACCGGGUUCUAAAUAUGCGUUGGUUUGUGCAAAGCAGGCUGCCACCCUUAGGGGAUUAGAGAAACUGAGUACCAUAUACCAUAUACUCUCACUGAUUAGACAGUGAUCAGGGGUCACGUUUCAAAGAUCAUGAUGUGCAAGACUGGAGAAAAGAACACGACAUUGAAUGGAGGUUCCAUGUCCCCUAUAACCUGCAAGCAGCAGGGCUGGUACAUAGGAAAGAUGGAAUAUUAAAGCAGCAGAUUCAAUCACUAACUGGUAAAAACCACCUUGGUCCAGUGGACUAAAGUAUGUGCCAGGCUGUAACACAUUUGAAUGAUCAACCAGGAGGCCCUGUUGCCCCGUAUGCCAGACUGGGCACCCCUGCCGAGGCACCAAAAGCUAUAAGGCCUGGAAGUCACAGGGAACAGCCGUUGCUCUGACUCUCACUGUGGAUCCACAAGCUAUGCUGCUGAGAACACCAAGUGUCAUCACACCUGGGAGAGGCUUUAUUUACUAGGAUUUGCAGUGAGACUUCCCGCCAGGAUGGGUGAGUUACUUUGCACCCCUGGGUGAGGGGGGAAUGUUCGGUCUCCACUGGGACCCCAUAGUCCUGCUGCAAGCACCAUAAAAUGCAUUACACCUGGAAUGGAGCACACACCACCAAGAGACCGGAGAAGGUGUGUCCUGGUCUGGCACAGCCUGCCCCAAGUCCCUCUCCUCACGCCUGCCAUGUAUGGUGAGCAGAACCAGGUCAAGUUCCCAAAGCUGCCGGCCUCCCUCUCCUCAAGGCCAGGUGGUCACAUUCUGUUUCCCAGCGGUAUGAGCAUGUGGCUGCCAUCUUCGUUCCCUCCCUUGGCCUGGAGGGCAUUAUAGCACACACAGAAGUCUUACUGAACUUGCCUAGCAAGCCAUAAAUGCCAGCUGGCAAAGCCUACCCUUAUUGAAUACUGAAAUGUCUCUAAUGAGAAAAGCUGUCCUCCAAAAUGGCCUUGGACAUUUUUACUGCCUCCCAAGGAGGCACCUAUGGCAUUAUCCACACAGAAUGUUGUGUUCAUACCUGCGUCUGCUAAUGUGCCCUCGUUAUUAAAUCACACGAGGACACAAGGGAAUGUCCUGAGUGAUCUAAACCCCAGCCUCAGGAUUUAAUACAGCAGUGAUUUGGAUCAUGGGGUGCUUGGAAAUCAUUGUUAGUUAUUUGGGGAAUCCUUGUGUUAAUUUGUGUUUUAUUUUGCAUGAGUCUAUCCUGCUGCUGUGGUAUUUGUCUCCAGUGCGGCCAGACAGCUGCCAACGAGCCACCUCCAAACUAGUGAAACCCCUUGCUGACCACACAGGGCACCCUGUGGAAGAGGGGGGCACGUGUGAGAGUAAGAUCCGGUCAUGAGGGGUGGAGUGUUGGGGGUGGUCAUUGAGAGGAUGUGACCACCAGUUGACCCCCGAGCUGGACAUGCACAAUCAGGGGCUUCUCAUCCCCUCCCCUGUCCUUGGAAUGUACUUCUGCCCACCUUUUGCCCAGGGGCAGCCGUUUUAAGGAUGCAGCCUUGAGGGAGUAAGGUGGCGUUGACACCAUCUGGACAGUAUAUGUGACUGAGCCCUCUUAAGGCCUCUCGAUAAACUCUUAAGAUUCAGGCGGGUGGGUGUGGAGAUCAACUCAUCUCUGGGUACCCGAGACAAGCCUUGCAGGUAAGCUCUCUUUCUUAUUAAACCUGCCACCUGCCAGUCUGAAGGGUCUUCCUUCUUCUUCUGUUUCUCCUUACCCUCUGUGUUUAGGGGCCAGUUUGCCAACCAGCAGCGCCCCAACCGCAGAAGGUAAAGACUGCAUUCACGCAUCCCCUUUCACAGAGUAAGGCUCAGAUGUAAGGGGACUUGUGCAAAGCCACAUGGCUAGGAAAUGGCAGAGCCAGGAUUUGGACCUAGACUGUCUGUCUCCCGAGCAUGUGUGUGCUCCCAGCCUCUAAACCCAGUCACCUGUGCUGAGAGAAGACCUCAGUCAGACCUCACUUUCCUGAAGGUGGGACUCUUCUGUGCCGUGUUCAUUGCUGAAUCCCCAGAACCAAGAACAGGGCCUGGCAUAAAGUCCUA